AGUGAACGCUGGCGGUAGGCCUAACACAUGCAAGUCGAACGGCAGCACAGUAAGAGCUUGCUCUUACGGGUGGCGAGUGGCGGACGGGUGAGGAAUACAUCGGAAUCUACUUUUUCGUGGGGGAUAACGUAGGGAAACUUACGCUAAUACCGCAUACGACCUACGGGUGAAAGCAGGGGAUCUUCGGACCUUGCGCGAUUGAAUGAGCCGAUGUCGGAUUAGCUAGUUGGCGGGGUAAAGGCCCACCAAGGCGACGAUCCGUAGCUGGUCUGAGAGGAUGAUAAGCGACACUGGAACUGAGACACGGUCAAGACUCCUACGGGAGGCAGCAGUGGGGAAUAUUGGACAAUGGGCGCAAGCCUGAUCCAGCCAGACCGCGUGGGUGAAGAAGGCCUUCGGGUUGUAAAGCCCUUUUGUUGGGAAAGAAAAGCAGCAGGUUAAGACCCCGCUGUUCUGACGGUACCCAAAGAAUAAGCACCGGCUAACUUCGUG
rnacentral:rRNA from 1 species